GAUGAACGCUGGCGGCGUGCCUAAUACAUGCAAGUCGAGCGAACGGACGAGAAGCUUGCUUUUCUGAUGUUAGCGUCGGACGGGUGAGUAACACGUGGAUACCCUACCUAUAAGACUGGGAUAACUUCGGGAAACCGGAGCUAAUACCGGAUAAUAUUUUGAACCGCAUGGUUCAAAAGUGAAAGACGGUCUUGCUGUCACUUAUAGAUGGAUCCGCGCUGCAUUAGCUAGUUGGUAAGGUAACGGCUUACCAAGGCAACGAUGCAUAGCCGACCUGAGAGGGUGAUCGGCCACACUGGAACUGAGACACGGUCCAGACUCCUACGGGAGGCAGCAGUAGGGAAUCUUCCGCAAUGGGCGAAAGCCUGACGGAGCAACGCCGCGUGAGUGAUGAAGGUCUUCGGAUCGUAAAACUCUGUUAUUAGGGAAGAACAUAUGUGUAAGUAACUGUGCACAUCUUGACGGUACCUAAUCAGAAAGCCACGGCUAACUACGUG
rnacentral:rRNA from 1 species